rnacentral:lncRNA from 1 species
GAAUCCCAAAUCCAGUUUUGGGGUGUCCAUGGGAACCCCGAAUCCCGGUCUGGGGUGUCCGUGGGAAUCCCAAAUCCAGUUUUGGGGUGUCCAUGGGAACCCCGAAUCCCGGUCUGGGGUGUCCGUGGGAAUCCCAAAUCCAGUUUUGGGGUGUCCAUGGGAACCCCGAAUCCCGGUCUGGGGUGUCCGUGGGAAUCCCAAAUCCAGUUUUGGGGUGUCCAUGGGAACCCCGAAUCCCGGUCUGGGGUGUCCGUGGGAAUCCCAAAUCCAGUUUUGGGGUGUCCAUGGGAACCCCGAAUCCCGGUCUGGGGUGUCCGUGGGAAUCCCAAAUCCAGUUUUGGGGUGUCCAUGGGAACCCCGAAUCCCGGUCUGGGGUGUCCGUGGGAAUCCCAAAUCCAGUUUUGGGGUGUCCAUGGGAACCCCGAAUCCCGGUCUGGGGUGUCCGUGGGAAUCCCAAAUCCAGUUUUGGGGUGUCCAUGGGAACCCCGAAUCCCGGUCUGGGGUGUCCGUGGGAAUCCCAAAUCCAGUUUUGGGGUGUCCAUGGGAACCCCGAAUCCCGGUCUGGGGUGUCCGUGGGAAUCCCAAAUCCAGUUUUGGGGUGUCCAUGGGAACCCCGAAUCCCGGUCUGGGGUGUCCGUGGGAAUCCCAAAUCCAGUUUUGGGGUGUCCAUGGGAACCCCGAAUCCCGGUCUGGGGUGUCCCCGCCCCCGCCGAUGCCUCCCGUGCCCCGCAGCGCUCCUGGUGCAGGGACAGUUCAGCAGGUUCGAGGGCAUCACCUAUCCCGAGCCAGCCCAGUACUCCCAGUACGACCAGCAGGCAGAAAUUCAGGAUUACUACGACUACCAUGGUGAGUGUUUCCCUGGGGGAUGCCGGGGGGGAUCAGGAUUUUGGGGUGUCCCUGCACUGGGUCUCUCCUUGCAGAUGUCACCCCCCGAGCCCCAGAGGAGCAGUUCCGGUUCCAAUCCCAGCAGCAAUCCCAGCAGGAAACCGUGCCAGCCCCGACCCCAGGUGGGUGACAGCCCCCGGGGUGGGUAACAGCCCCCCGAGAUAGAUGACAAUCCCCCAGGGUGGGUGACAGCCCCCGGGGUGGGUAACAGCCCCCCGCCCCCCCCCCCCCCCCCCCCCCCCCCCCCCCCCCCCCCCCCCCCCCCCCCCCCCCCCCCCCCCCCCCCCCCCCCCCCCCCCCCCCCCCCCCCCCCCCCCCCCCCCCCCCCCCCCCCCCCCCCCCCCCCCCCCCCCCCCCCCCCCCCCCCCCCCUGUCCCCUGUCCUUUGUCCCCUGUCCCCUGUCCCUCUGUCCUCUGUCCCCCUGUCUCCCUGUCCCUCUGUCCCUCUGUCCCCCUGUCCCGUUUCUGGGCCGGGGGAGGCGCUGGCUGAGGAAUUCCCGGGAAUUCCCGUUUCCCAGACUGCCGGGAGGAGCAGUACCCCUGCACCCGGCUCUACUCCGUGCACAAGCCCUGCAAGCAGUGCCUGAACGAGAUCUGCUUCUACAGGUGCGUGAGGGAGGGGAAACGUUCCCUGAUCCCUCUGCAGGUUUGGGGAACCCCUCUGCUUUACAUCCCCAUCCUUCCUAUCCCCCAAAAAUUCCAGCCUCCGCCGGGUGUACGUCAUCAACAAGGAGAUCUGCGUCCGCACCGUGUGCGCCCACGAAGAGCUGCUGCGAGGUGAGAGGGGGCACCCCGAAAAUCAGGAUCAUCCCCUUUUUUGGGGAGGGAAAAUCCCGCUGGACGAAAGGUCCGGGGACCCCCGGGGCAGAGCGGGAUCGCGCUUUGGGGUGGGGCUGCGCUGGGGGCCUUCCCCCGCUGCUCUCCCGGAGUUUUCUCGGAGCCAUCCAGGGACAAUCCCUCGCUCCCCGCAGCCGACCUGUGCCGGGACAAGUUCUCCAAGUGCGGGGUGAUGGCCACGAGCGGCCUGUGCCAGACGGUGGGAGCGUCCUGCGCCCGCAGCUGCGGCGGCCCCCCCCCCCCCCCCCCCCCCCCCCCCCCCCCCCCCCCCCCCCCCCCCCCCCCCCCCCCCCCCCCCCCCCCCCCCCCCCCCCCCCCCCCCC